rnacentral:rRNA from 15 species
GCUUGGGCGAGAGUAGUACUAGGAUGGAUCCCAUCAGAACUCCGAAGUUAAGCGUGCUUGGGCGAGAGUAGUGCUAGGAUAGGUGACCUCCUGGGAAGUCCUCGUGUUGCAUUCC